AGGCGUGAGCCACUGCACUUGGCCAAAAAUUGGCUAUCUUGAGCUCCUUUUGCCAUGUUUGUAAUAAAGUUGGCUCCAUCUACUACUAUGCAAUAUGUAAUUAGGACUUUCCACCCUUUCUCUACGAUAGCAUUUAACUGUGAUUUUAGGAGUCAUAGAGCCAAAGUCUGUUCCCAUUAACCUCACAUCCAGAAUCAAGUUCUGCCACAUGUGACUGCAGAUGAACCUGAACAGAAGCUG
rnacentral:lncRNA from 10 species